CAUGCGUUUUAGCGUCUGCAUUUACAAAUUUGAGCUUUCACCUGAAUCAGAAACCGAAGUAAAUGCAUUUUUGGCAAGCGAGACGCAAAUUGGAAUGAAUAUGAAGUAAAAACUACUUUUGGGGUUGGAAAGAAAGCCAAUCAAGUCUCCUAACUUAAAGAUGGUCAAAGGUGGACCAGAGUUUAAUAAAAGACUACCCAGAUUUCUGCGACAUGAAGACAUACCAACAGAUACCUUUACACCCAGGACAUACCAGGUGGAGCUGCUUGAUGCGGCAUUACACCGCAACACAAUCAUAUGCCUGGGUAGUAACUCAGGCAAGGCCUUCAUCGCACUCAUGGUCAUCAAGGAGAUGGCCCACCAGAUCAGGAAGGCCUAUGACACCGGGGGGAAGAGAACUGUCUACCUGGUGGUGUCCGACCUUGCGGCCGAGGUUGAGUGGCAGAUCCUCCAGCACCACACUGACCUGACGGUCGGCAAGUACACCUCUGACACCGACCUCGACGACUGGAAACAGGAAGACUGGCUGGCGGAACUCACAGAGAAGCAGAUCCUUGUCAUGGUAGCAGACGUGUUUCACACCGCCCUCGACAAUAACUUCCUACCACUGUCCAGCCUCAAUCUGGUUAUAUUCGAUGACUGCCAUCUUGCAGUCGGGGAUCACCACUAUGUCCAUAUCAUGGAACAUCUAUCCCCUGCAUCGGGAGAAGAGCAGCCGCAGAUUCUUGGUCUGACUGCAGCCAUAUUGGGGAGUCGAUGCAAUGACCCCUAUGAACUGCGGAAUGCAAUCACAUCACUUGAAGCUAUGUUACAUUCCAGAGCUGAAACUUCCAUGCUUGUGAUCUCAGAGAGGUAUGGUUCACGCCCCAAAGAGGUUGUGUACCAGUGUGAACCGACUGAGCCCCUGGACAUCACCAUAGUGCUGAAGAGCAUCCUUGAGAAUGCGCUGUUCUUCCUGUAUGAGUUGCAGUUCACGGAAGAAGAGUGUGGGAAGAAGGAUCCCCGGCACAUUCCCAAGAAUGCUUUGUCAGAAUGUCACAAUAUUCUGCUCCGACUUGGUCCGUGGUGUGCAGCCCGUAUUGCAGAAAUGUUGAUAACUCAAAUUGAAAAAUCAGAAAAACAGGAAAGCAAUCCAAUUCCUAAAAGACUGCUUCGCUUCGCAUCAACUCAGCUUCGAUACAUCACAAAGGUUUUUGAUAAAGACUUCACGCCGGAUUAUGUUGUUGAAGAAUUCCUGGAGUAUACAACACCUAAGGUUGUUCAACUUGUUGACAUUUUACGGAAGUACAAACCAGAUUUAGACUUUAUGAUUAUUAGUAACGAAGAUUCCGGGAUGUCGGAUGAAUCAGAUCUGUCUGAUGACUCCAUGGAUUUGUCCGAUUCAGACGAUGAUGAUGGAAGUCCAAGUUCUCAUUCUAACAAACAAAUUCAUAUUGCAGUCAAACGUAGCAUGGAGGGGUUUGAGGAUAGAGCUGUUAGCUGUUUCCUUGGUCCAGAUGAGAAAAAGUUGAUAGGAAUUGUGUUUGUAGAGCAGAGAUAUGUAGCAUUUGCCUUGAACAAACUUAUAGAGGAGGUGUGUGGUUGGGACGAGAAUCUGUGUUUUAUCAAGAGCAACCACCUGACUGGGCCAGGAUGGAAAGCAGGCAAGCAGAAGAAGGACACAGGGAGGGUGUAUCGUAAGCAGGAGGAGACGCUGCGCAAGUUCCGCAUGCAGGAGCUGAACCUCCUGAUAUCCACCAGUGUCCUUGAGGAAGGAGUGGACAUCCCCAAGUGUAACCUUGUUGUCCGUUUUGAUCCCCCCAAAGACUACAGGUCCUACACGCUUGCCAAGGGUCGGGCGCGAUCGAGGGAUGCUGAGUACAUAAUCCUGGUGGAGAGAGAUAAGAAGAACACCUUCACUGAGGAACUCAAGAUCUUCAAGGGAAUAGAGGAGGUUUUGAUCGGGGAUGGAAGAGGUCGGAAAGAUUUAGCAGAUGAUGGAGAUGAGAUCAAUCCUGAUACAGUUGUCACCAUGCUGCCGCCAUAUUGUCCAACUGACAACCCAGCUGCUCCCAAGGUCACCAUGCAGACGGCCAUUGCCCUGGUCAACAGGUACUGUGCAAAGUUACCCAGUGAUGCCUUCACCCAUCUAACACCUCACUGUUCCGUUGCCGUGGUUCCUGACACGGACGCUCAGAUGUUUGAGGCCUCGCUCAGACUACCAGUGAACUCGUCCAUAAAGCAGGAGAUAAUGGGUGUGGCCAUGCCUUCCAAGAAGCUUGCCAAGAUGGCCGUUGCUUUGAAGAUGUGUGAGAAGUUACAUAAAGCAGGUGAGCUGGAUGACAACUUAAUGCCUGUAGGGAAGGAGAUGUUUGUCUACGAGGAGGAAGAAGAGUGGGAGGAAGAGGAUGUCACUGGACAGGCUCGCCCAGGGACAACCAAGAGAAAGCAGUACUACUACAAAAAAGCAGCGGAUGCAUUUGUUCACAGUCAUGUCCGCCCAGACGAGCCCUGCAACCUGUACUUCAUCAACCUCAAACUAACAGGGCCAAUCACAGACGAGCAGAACACCCGUGGCAGACGCAUAUAUGCACCCGAGGAUACUGCACAGUCCCUGGGUCUACUCUCAUCAAAAGAAAUUCCCCUAGUCCCUCAUUUUCCGGUGUACACACGGUCAGGGGAGGUAACUGUCUCUGUGGAUCUGAUCCAGUCAAAUGUGGUGCUAAGCCAGGAAGACCUGAAGAAGAUAGGGAAAUUCCAUCAGUUUGUGUUCACCAGCGUCCUUCACCUUGAGAAAGACCCCAUGGAGUUUGCUGUUUCUAGUGCAGACGUCGGCUACCUUAUUGUACCACUUGACAAAGACUUGUCCACUGAGAGUGGGCUUGGAAUACAGUGGGAUUUUGUGAACAUUGUCCAAUCCACUGCCAAGCCAGAGAAGAAGAAGAAUGUGUUUGACAAAAAGCGAGGUGCAUUUGAGUUCCGCCAGGAGGACUUUGCAGACGCUGUAGUGAUGCCAUCAUACCGCAAUAUCGACCAGCCCCAACACUUCUACGUAGCUGAAAUCCGUUUGGACCUUAACCCAACCAGCCCCUUCCCUUCACCAGAGUUGUACAAAACAUUCAACGAAUACUACACCACCAAGUAUGGCCUGACUAUCACCAACACUGACCAGCCCCUCCUCGACGUGGACCACACGUCUGCUCGCCUCAACCUCCUCACUCCGCGCUACAUGAACCAGAAGGGCGUGGCUCUGCCAACCAGCAGUGCCGAGACCAAGCGUGCUCGGCGGGAGAACCUACAACAGAAGCAGAUCCUAGUCCCUGAGCUGUGUGAUAUACAUGUGUUCCCAGCGUCUCUGUGGCGGAAGGCUGUCUGUCUGCCAGCUGUCCUGUACAGGAUGAACUAUCUUCUCCUGGCGGAGGAGAUUAGGAAACGCAUCGCGAAGGAAACAGGCAUAGGGGUAGUGGAGUUGCCGUGUGACUUUACAUUCCCACAGUUGGAUUUCGGGUUUGAAACAAAUCCUGAAAAGUUGAAAUGUGAUGCCGAGGAGGGGCAGGACAAGGAUGCCAGUGAUGAUGAUAAGCAGAACUCCUUCGAAAGGCAAGAAAGUCCGACGGAGGAUGUACAUUCGUGUGAUUCUAGUCAGAAGUCGGAUGAAAAGGACAAAGUGCCGUCCAGUCCUAGUGAAAGUAGUCCCCCUGCUAUCUCCCAGGAGGACCUGAAGGCAAUAGAGGACAAGGGAGAGAUGUCAUCAGACAGUGAUUCAGGCAUUGCCUCAGCAGGCUCAGAAGUCAGUGUAGCAGACAUUGGAGCUCACUCUAAGUGUGAUACUAAUACUACUGACCUGUCUCCCCAGCCAAACAGCAGCACAUCUGAUGCAGAUUCUAGCACCGCAAGUAUACAGUCCAAGACUGACAAUGUAGAUAGCAGUGUCACACAGGUACAGCCUAAGACAGACUGUGUUGUUUCAAAUACCAGUGCCACAGGCAAACAGCCUACGACAGACUCUGUUGUGUCAGAUGUAGAUACAAGUUCCACAGGUGAACAGCUUAACACUGACUGUGUUGUGCCAGAUACAGGUACCAGUGCCACAGGCAAUCAGCCUACGACGGACUGUUUUGUGUCAGAUACAGAUACCAGUGCCCCAGGCAAACAGCGUACGACAGAUUGUGUUGUGUCAGAUACAGAUACCAGUGCCACAGGCAAACAGCGUAUGACAGACUCUGUUGUGUCAGAUGUAAAUACCAGUUCCACAGGCAAACAGCGUACGGCAGACUGUGUUGUGUCAGAUACGGAUACCAGUGCCACAGGCAAACAGCGUACGACAGACUGUGUUGUUUCAAAUACCAAUGCCACAGGCAAACAGCGUACGACAGACUGUGUUGUGUCGGAUACAGAUACCAGUUCCACAGGCAAACAGCGUACGGCAGACUGUGUUGUGUCAGAUACAGAUACCAGUGCCACAGGCAAACAGCGUAUGACAGACUGUGUUGUGUCAGAUACAGACACCAGUGCCACAGGCAAACAGCGUACGACAGACUGUGUCGUGUCAGAUACAGAUACCAGUGCCACAGGCAAACAGCGUACGACAGACUGUGUUGUGUCAGAUACAGAUACCAGUUCCACAGGCAAACAGCGUACGGCAGACUGUGUUGUGUCAGAUACAGAUACCAGUGCCACAGGCAAACAGCGUACGACAGACUGUGUUGUGUCAGAUACAGAUACCAGUUCCACAGGCAAACAGCGUACAACAGACUGUGUUGUGUCAGAUACAGAUACCAGUUCCACAGGCAAACAGCCUACGACAGAUUGUGUUGUGUCAGAUACAGAUACCAGUGCCACAGGCAAACAGCGUAUGACAGACUCUGUUGUGUCAGAUGUAAAUACCAGUUCCACAGGCAAACAGCGUACGGCAGACUGUGUUGUGUCAGAUACGGAUACCAGUGCCACAGGCAAACAGCGUACGACAGACUGUGUUGUGUCAGAUACAGAUACCAGUUCCACAGGCAAACAGCGUACGACAGACUGUGUUGUGUCGGAUACAGAUACCAGUUCCACAGGCAAACAGCGUACAACAGACUGUGUUGUGUCAGAUACAGAUACCAGUUCCACAGGCAAACAGCGUACGACAGACUGUGUUGUGUCAGAUACAGAUACCAGUUCCACAGGCAAACAGCCUACGACAGACUGUGUUGUGUCAGAUACAGAUACCAGUUCCACAGGCAAACAGCGUACAACAGACUGUGUUGUGUCAGAUACAGAUACCAGUGCCACAGGCAAACAGCGUACGACAGACUGUGUUGUGUCAGAUACAGAUACCAGUUCCACAGGCAAACAGCGUACGGCAGACUGUGUUGUGUCAGAUACGGAUACCAGUGCCACAGGCAAACAGCCUACGACAGACUGUGUUGUGUCAGAUACAGAUACCAGUUCCACAGGCAAACAGCGUACGACAGAUUGUGUUGUGUCAGAUACAGAUACCAGUUCCACAGGCAAACAUCGUACAACAGACUGUGUUGUGUCAGAUACAGAUACCAGUGCCACAGGCAAACAGCGUACGACAGACUGUGUUGUGUCAGAUACAGAUACCAGUUCCACAGGCAAACAUCGUACAACAGACUGUGUUGUGUCGGAUACAGAUACCAGUGCCACAGGCAAACAGCGUACAACAGACUGUGUUGUGUCAGAUGUAAAUACCAGUUCCACAGGCAAACAGCGUACGGCAGACUGUGUUGUGUCAGAUACAGAUACCAGUUCCACAGGCAAACAUCGUACAACAGACUGUGUUGUGUCGGAUACAGAUACCAGUGCCACAGGCAAACAGCCUACGACAGACUGUGUUGUGUCAGAUACAGAUACCAGUUCCACAGGCAAACAGCGUACGACAGACUGUGUUGUGUCAGAUACAGAUACCAGUUCCACAGGCAAACAACCUACGACAGACUGUGUUGUGUCAGAUACAGAUACCAGUUCCACAGGCAAACAGCGUACGGCAGACUGUGUUGUGUCAGAUACAGAUACCAGUUCCACAGGCAAACAACCUACGACAGACUGUGUUGUGUCAGAUACAGAUACCAGUUCCACAGGCAAACAACCUACGACAGACUGUGUUGUGUCAGAUACAGAUACCAGUUCCACAGGCAAACAGCGUACGGCAGACUGUGUUGUAUCAGAUACAGAUACCAGUGCCACAGGCAAACAGCUUACGACAGACUGUGUUGUGUCAGAUACAGAUACCAGUGCCACAGGCAAACAGCGUACGACAGACUGUGUUGUGUCAGAUACAGAUACCAGUGCCACAGGCAAACAGCGUACGACAGACUGUGUUGUGUCAGAUACAGACACCAGUGCCACAAAUAUGCAGAAGAAUUUUAUCACAUCUGCAGCAGACACAAAAACCACUGCAACCGCUAGUACCACAAACAUGGAGUCUCAGACCGACUGUAUAGUGCCAGAUAAGGAAACCAGAACAGGUCCCAAACCUAAGAAUGACAGUAAAAGGUCCCAAUCAGAAGCCAGUUACACUGGUACACAAUCACCUCAGACAGAUUUUCCUGUAGCUGAUACAGAAACUACUACCAAGUGUUUAAGAUUCCUAAAUAAACCCAUAAUUGGUACACAACCCCAGACAGAUUGUGUCAUCCCUGGUACAGAAUCCAGUAUCACUGGUGCACAACAUCCAACAGAUUGUAUCGUAUCUGAUACAGAAACCCGUGUGUCUGGUACGCAAGCCAAUACAGACUGCACCGUGCCUGAUACAGAACCGAGUGUUGUCAGUAAACAUCAACAUGAACAUUGCAGCAAGUCAUUUGCAAAACACUGUGACGUUCAAACCAAAACUUUUACAGAUGAUACUCCUUUAGUCACAGCCAAUGUGAUAGAAGUUUUAGAUAGAGACGCAAAAUAUGACAAUGUGUUAGAAACAAACUCUAUGCAGGUUAAGAACAGAAAUGAUUCUUUAUGCCAUAAUGCCAGAAAUGCAUGUGAAAACUUUGUGGAGCAAUCAGAAACUGCAGAUUCUGAAGGGAACGAUACUCAAUGGUGCUCAACUGAAGUUAGCAAUGCAACUGUCUGCAGUAACGCACAGUCCACAGGUGCCACUCCGGAGUCAGGUGACCCUGCAGGACCUCCAGCCUGCCCAGAUCAUGACUCGGUGCUCAACACUUCACCUAGUACAGCACACACUGGAACAAACAUAACACACAAUCAAACUAGUCACUCAUCAGAAAGGUGCUCAUCAUUAACCCAUGCUCAUUCCAAUAUGGUAAUCUCAGAACCUCUCAAAGAAGAUGUCCAAGCUGAUCCUCCGAUGUCAGACGUGCCAGACUCAUCCCUUUUGGUGGACCAAUUUCAGUAUGCAUCCACUGCAACCGAGGAUGACUCGUCAUCCAGUGUCUGUGGUGCACUGUCUGGUGUAACAGUUCCUAAUGCGAUGGAUUCAUGCCAACUCAUGAUCUCAGAAACAGAACAAUCUAGUACAAAGGAUGAUUCAGAAAACCCUGCUCAAAUUAGGCUUGAUGAUCAAAGAAAGGACAGUGUGGAGGCUGACUUCCCGACUGCUCAAUACUCCGAUGCAAUCAAAGAGUCCUCAGUGUCAAAAAGUGACCUUCUUACUGAACCAGGUGCCGAAACAGUGUUCAAUGCAAAUCCUGUGUGUGAUUCUUCAGACCAGAUGAAAGACAGCCCAGCCUCGGGGUGGGAUGAUGAACCUAUGUCACAGUUGACCACGAUAGGGGGUCCUCCAAUUAGGCAGAAACAGGAAGGGGCUGAAAGUAACUGCUGUGAUACGGACAACGCUGAGUCCUAUGGUAACGAUGCUGAUGCUGACUUCGGUGUCUGGUCCUUCCCAGGUUGUGGAGAGCCUUGUCCUGACAGUGAUGCUUCCUCAUCCACAACAUCAGAAGAGGUGGAACUGGAAGUGACAUCUCAACCUAACAUCUGCCUGGAUGAGGACAGAGAUCUCAGUACUUUUGUGGGACCAAGCCCCUGCCUCAUUUUACAGGCGUUAACAAUGUCCAAUGCUAAUGACUUUUUCAGUUUGGAAAGAUUAGAGACUAUUGGUGACUCCUUUCUCAAGUAUGCCAUCACCGUGUACCUCUACUGCUCAUACCCAGGCAUUCACGAAGGGAAGCUGAGUUACCUCAGGAGCAAGCAAGUCAGUAAUUACAACCUGUAUAGACUCGGUAGGAAGCGACGUUUAGCUGAGUGCAUGGUGUCAGCCAAGUUUGAGCCCUAUGAGAACUGGCUGCCCCCGGGGUACAUCAUCAACGAGAACAGGAGGAGGGGCCCGGUGCCUAGAGUCGUCAUUGCCAACUCGGGCAAGAAAACGUCAAGCAGUAAUGCCAAAAAGUCUGAAACUGAUUCCACAGUGGCCAAAUUAUUCGAGGACAAGAAGGAAACAGGUGGUAGUAAAAAGACAGAAGUGUGCGAUGUGAUAAGUGACAAAGAGAAAUCGGAUAGUAAAGUUGAAUCUGAGGAGUCAGAAGGAAACAUGACAGAGAAACAUGCAGCCGGAAGUGAAACUGAGGACGUUCAUGGUGGUAAUGUUGAAUCUGAAGGAAGUGUGACCCAGAAACUUGAAACUAAAGACAUGCAUAGUGUUGAUAUCAAAUCUGAAGCCAAUGUGACCCAGAAACUGGAAACUGAAGACAUGCAUAGUGUUGAUGUGAAAUCAGAAGGAAAGGUGACCCCAAAACUUGAAACUGAAAACAUGCAUAGUGUUGAUAUCAAAUCUGAAGCCAAUGUGACCCAGAAACUUGAAACUGAAGACAUGCAUAGUGUUGAUGUGAAAUCAGAAGGAAAGGUGACCCCAAAACUUGAAACUGAAAACAUGCAUAGUGUUGAUAUCAAAUCUGAAGCCAAUGUGACCCAGAAACUGGAAACUGAAGACAUGCAUAGUGUUGAUGUGAAAUCAGAAGGAAAGGUGACCCAGACUCUUGAAGCCGAGGAGAAGCAUCUCAUUAAUGAGGAUUGUGAAGAAAAAAUGCCAGAGAAACAUGAAUCUGACAAGCACAGCACUGAUCUGGAUUCCAAAGAAAGUGGAACUGAGGAAACAGAAACUGAAAACAAGCAUAGCAUUGAUGCUAGUUGUGAAGAAGGCAUAUCUGAGGAUGCUGGUAGUGAUACUGAAUCCACUGUUGUGGACGUAGAUGAUGGUCUUGAGAACAUACCUGUGCUCUCUGACAGUGAUGCUAGUCACGCAUCAGCAGCUACAGAACAAAUGACAGCUGUGUCCACCAAUGACAGUGGUGAGGGGACAGUAGAACAAAGUGGAGGUGUGCCACCGAUGAGUGAUGUAGAACGCCAGAAGUUUGACCAGGAGCUUGAAGAGAUUGACUUGAUCCAAGAGGCUGACAAGAUAGAGGAUCUGACUGACGACACGCUGGCUUUAGUGCCCUACAGUCUACAGACGCAGCACGGGAUCCCAGACAAGAGUGUGGCCGACAGUGUGGAGGCUCUGAUUGGCUGCUAUCUGACCACAUGUGGGAAGAAGGCAGCGCUGAUGUUCAUGUCAUGGCUGGGGCUGAAGGUGUUGCCGAGGAAGGACCACCGAGUGGGUGCGGUUCGCAGGAAGGAGGGGCAGCAGCGGUUGACAACUUUAUCUCUCCACCAGGUGAGUGAGUACGAGUUUAAGGAGCUUCAGUGUCCCCCGUCGCCGCUGUUCCUGGCAGGGCACCACCACGCCAACAACAUGCUGCUCCAUCUCCUGGACGGCUACAACGUCUUUGAGGAGAAGAUUGGCUACACCUUCCAGGACCGGUCCUACCUGCUGCAGGCCUUCACACACGCCUCCUACCAUUACAACUCCAUCACUGACUGCUAUCAGAGGCUGGAGUUCCUGGGGGAUGCCAUCCUGGACUAUGUGAUCACCCGCCAUCUGUACGAGGACUCACAGAAGUAUUCCCCGGGCAUCCUGACAGACCUGAGGUCCGCCCUCGUCAACAACAACAUCUUUGCAGCUCUGGCAGUGAAGUGGGACUUCCACAAGUACUUCAAGGCCAUUUCUCCAGCACUGUUCCACGUCAUCGAGAAGUUUGUCGCGAGACAGAAGGACAAGGAGGAUGAGAUUGAUAUUGAGGAUGAGUUCCAGAUGUUGGAGGAUGGGGACGAGGACAGUGAGCAGGUGGAGGAGGUGGAGCUGGAGAUACCCAAAGCUCUGGGAGACAUCUUCGAGUCUGUUGCUGGCGCCAUCUACCUGGACAGCGGCAUGUCCCUGGACACUGUGUGGAGGGUGUAUUACCGCAUCAUGCGGCCACAGAUAGAAAAGUAUCUGAAGAGCAUCCCCAAGUCUCCUGUGAGGGAGCUAUUGGAGCUGGAACCAGAGACAGCCAAGUUCGAGAAACCAGAACGCACAAUGGAAGGGAAGAUCCGAGUGACAGUGAAUGUGGUGGGCAAGGGAGUCUUCAGUGGUAUUGGUCGCAACUACAGAAUCGCAAAGAGUGCUGCUGCCAAGAAAGCUUUGAGAAUCAUCCGCUCUAUGCAAAUGGGGGUGCUUGACUGACAAGCAAGUGCUCAGCAAGUCUGCCUUGACCUGUGACCUCUUCAUGCCAUACCUCAGUCCGGACUGUAGUCCCAGCAAACUGACCAUGCCUUCCAGUCUUCUGUCCACUGACUGACCAGGCCUGGGAGUUUUCUAUUCUAGGUCCCUGAUGAGACAGGGCACCUUUUGACCUUGACCUUCAUGUAGUACAGACACUAGUUUAAGGCACUUGAAAAUAUUUGUUUAUGUUUUAUUUAUAAGAACAAUGGUACAGAAAGUUGAAAUUGUAAAUAAUCAGAAUUUAGAUAUGAGAUUAAGGUAUAAGAUAUAUCACAUAUAUGUAUAUGUUAUUAUAACCUAUUUGUGUUGUAAUAAUAGAUUCAGGGGUGUCGGAAAGUAAAAUUAAUCAUACACACUACUGUUCAAAACAAAUGUCUCCCCUAUCACAUCUUUGGCUCAUUUGAUUUCAGGGGAUGUUUAUUUUGGAAAGUAGUGUAGCUCUAGUCAAGUUUCUUGAAACUGGAUGUGCUGCAGUGUUUCCAGUCAUUCAGGAUAGUGUUGCGUGUUAGUUUUACCCCGUACCCUGUCGCUGACUAAUAGUGCAUUCAGAACAUUUAUUUAUGUUUAAUUUAUUUUUGUGUCCUUAAAGUGAGACAAAAGUUGAACAUGUUUCUGUUAGCCUGCAACAAUAUACUUUGUCACGAUAUGUUUCUCGAUAGUCACGAUAUGUUUCUCGAUAGUCACAAUAUGUUUCUCGAUAGUCUCAAAAGUCAUGAUAUGUUUCUCGAUAGUCACGAUAUGUUUCUCGAUAGUCACGAUAUGUUUCUCGAUAGUCAUGAUAUGUUUCUCGAUAGUCAUGAUAUGUUUCUCGAAAGUCAUGAUAUGUUUCUCGAUAGUCACGAUAUGUUUCUCGAUAGUCACGAUAUGUUUCUCGAUAUUCAUGAUAUGUUUCUCGAUAGUCUUGAUACGUUUCUUGACAGACAUAUUUUUCUUGAUAGUCAUAGUAAAGGUUUCUCUAUAGUCAUGUCAUGCCAUUCUCGGUAGUCAUGAUUUGUUUAAAAAAAAUAAUAGUCUAGGUUCUCAGGCACCACCCACAUCAUCAUGAGAUCUUCUGCAUGUUUCGUUUUUAUUUCCAUUUUAAAAAAAAUAUAAAAUAUCUUUAAAUAUUCCGCUUCUCAAACAUAUGACCCCGGCAGUUAAAUGCUCAAAAGCUUAAAAACAACAAGAUUUCCCCGAAAUUAAUGUAAAAAGGUUUUGGUUACAUAAUAGCUGGAACAACAAAAUAAAUACCACUGCCUGCCGGCACAAAAAAUUCAAAAGCCAUUGCCUGAGAACCAAUUCUAUUAUCUUUUUAAGCCUUAUAGUCACGAUGCAUUUCUCAAUAGUCAUGAUGCGUUUCUCAGUAGUCACGAUUCGUUUCUCAAUAGUCACGAUGCGUUUCUUAGUAGUCACGAUGCGUUUCUCAAUAGUCACGAUGCGUUUCUCAAUAGUCACGAUUCGUUUCUCAGUAGUCACGAUUCGUUUCUCAAUAGUCACGAUGCGUUUCUUAGUAAUCACGAUGCGUUUCUCAAUAGUCACGAUGCGUUUCUCAAUAGUCACGAUUCGUUUCUCAGUAGUCACGAUUCGUUUCUCAAUAGUCACGAUGCGUUUCUUAGUAAUCACGAUGCGUUUCUCAAUAGUCACGAUGCAUCAUUCCAUACGUACAACCUCAUGGCAUUUUAAGUUUUCUUUUAUUGAAGAGAAUGACCAGAGACAACCAAAUUAUUUUUUGGGACAGGUUUAGCAAUGUUUUUAUCAUAUUCACUGGCUUCUGACCUCUUGUACAUACCACCUGGAGAUAGUAUUUUACACUUCAUCUUCAUAUGUAAAACAUCAUACCUUCAUUUGUACUGUAUAGAUGCAUGUAUCGUGACACAGCAAUCUUAACAAAGUGUAUCAUGGCACAGUGGAUCUUAGUAACAUAAAUCGUGAUACAGAUAUGGACAAAGCGUAUCGUGAUACAGCGCAUUUUAACAAAGUGUAUCAUGGCACAGUGGAUCUUAGUAACAUAAAUCGUGAUACAGAUAUGGACAAAGCGUAUCGUGGCACAGUGGAUCUUAGCAAAGUGUAUCAUGGCACAGUGGAUCUUAGUAACAUAAAUCGUGAUACAGAUCUUGACUAAGUGUAUCGUGGCACAGUGGAUCUUAGCAAAGUGUAUCAUGAAACAGCUGAUCUUAGCAAAGUAUAUCAUGGCACAGCAGAUCUUGACAAAAUGUAUCAUGAUACAGAUCUUAGCAAAGUGUAUCGCGGCACAGCAGAUCUUAGCAAAGCGUAUCGUGACAGUGUGUAUCAUGCCAAAGCAUAAUGUGGCAAAGUGUAUUGUGGCACAGCAGAUCUUGGCAAAGCGUAUCGUGGCAUAGGGUAUUGUGAUGUAUCAUUAAUUUCAGUAUGUCCAUCACAGCCCUGUUGGCGAUAUACUCUUGAGAAUAACGACAUACUCCUGUAGUUCUGUAAGUCGUGUACAUUAAAAUGUAAUAUCUUCUCCCACUUUUUGUCUGUUUGGAUGUAAAGGGUCAUGUUUUGUGAAAUGUACUCGCUUGAAACAUCCGAGACAUCAUCUGAUUGCUGAAGCCUGAGUCAUUCCAUUAUGCAGUAAAUCUAAUGUAGGUAUAUUUUGUGUUGUGAUUUCAAGUGAUGCUAAUGAUUAGUGCUGAGUAAUGGAUUCGGGUUCCGUGUUUUUGACAUUCCUAUGAAAUUAAUAAAGCCUCAUUUCAGCUGAUUGUUGAAGUGAAUGUUUUUUAUAAAUCACUAUUUUCUAAGAUUUGAAACUAUCAGAUAGUUUUAGUAAAUAUACAUAUAUAUAUGUGCUCGUUAAUCUGCCAUUAUCAUAUACACUAAGUAUGUAUUAAUCAUGCUUGUUAUGCAAAGACUUAUAAAAUUAACCAUAUUUCUUCCUAUUUUGAAAACAUCAAAACAGUUUUUGCAAUGUGAGAUAGACUUUUUUCUUAAUAGAUUCUGGGGCUUUUUUAUGAAUCAGUUUGUUUGCAGAAUAAGUUUGGCUAAUAAAUUGGCUAAAGCUUGUGGUCAAAAUGAAAAUAAAAUUUUGAUGAUGUCUCUGAAGGGUAAUGUCAGAAGGCAAGAAAACAACUAAAUUGGUUUUUUUAAAAUGUCAGUUCAAAGGGUUCCUUCCCUUCCAUUAUUCUCUAACCUCAUUCAAUACUUUCAUACCCUGACAGACUCAAACAAACGCAGUCAAACUCAAAAUGUUAGUUAUAUUCAACCCUUUUGGAAUUUUUGUCCUAUGGAUCUUAAUCCAAAUAAUUGCUAAAUACAUCAUCUGAGCCUUGUUCUACUUAAUUCAGAGGUAUCUACUGGGCACUGUUUCACAAAGAGAUCUUAGGGCUAAGAUGACUUAACUUAAUACUUUAACACAGAUGACAGUCGUAGUGCUAUGAGGGCUUUGUGGAACAGGGCCCUGUUCUAUAAAAAAAGCUUAGUACUCUGACUCUCAUAGGUCAAUGUUAAAGUAUGGGAGUUACAAUCAUCUUCGUGCUAAGAUCGCUUUGUUGAAUGGGGUCAAAACUUGUAUCCAAUUCAGUGCAUCUUGUAUCUACUGGAACUCAAUGUCUAGUUCACAGCAACAAGGAACAAGAUACUCUCUAUAUAGCCAUCUUGUUAGUUAUAUACAAAAGAGCAUAAUGGUGCUUUCUGCACGGUUUCUUGCUGAUAUACAAACUGUAUGCAAACAUUGGACACACACUGAAUCUGUUGUGUGUAGAUUGGAUGAGGCCACAACAGGUUGAUUACUUGUUUGUUAAUGUCACGAUACAAGAGCACAUGACACUGCAUUGUGAGUUCAUAUACUGAGAUGAAAGGGUAAAAGUGCACUAUGAUUCACAGAUAAUUUAAGGUAUGACCAUGAGAUAUUUCUUCUGUAUUGUCCAUUGUACAUUGUCCAUUGUCCCCGCUGUAUUCCAAGAUUCCGUGGUCGCGGAAUAUUUUGCAAAAAUGCCCACUCGGUUCAAAAAUGUAUGUUUCUUGCAGAGAAUCAUGUUUUGUGCAGAACUUGUUCAGAAUUUAUCUGCCGAGGAACUUUGUCAAGGAACGCUUGUUUCAAACGUGUAAUGAAUAUUUAUUUUGUUUUGACGUGAAGUUGGCUUUUGUAUCACUGGUUACUGAAAGUACAUGUCUGUAUGUUUACCUUAGUGAUCUCCAGAUUCGCUUCAAUAAGCUAUUCUAGCCGUGGAUUAGAUUAUAAAACCAUGCCUGUCACAAGUCAAACAGAUGCAAAAAUAUGAAAUUAACGGAAACUAAGAAAAAAUACAGAAUUACCAAAAUGUGAUUGCGGGAAUUAAAAAAUUGACCGCCGAAAUUGUCUUUUCUUUUGGCCACAGAAUGCAGUGGGGACUGAUUGUAACAAUUCUGGUGAUGGCUUGAAUGUAUCACUCGGUGAAUUCUUGCAUUUCUGUGUUUUCAUAACCACCAGAUUGAAACACCAUCUCAGACACAUAGAAACAUCUUCUUUGAGUUAUCAGUGGCUGUUGAAAGUGUGUCAAAAGUAAUAGUGUGUUCAAUUUUCAUUCAGUUGCUGAUAAUUCACGAUUUUUUCAAAUCAAAUAUUUUAUAUCAAAUAUAUUUCAAAUAUUUUUCUGGUUAUUUAAAAAAAAAAAAUCUAACAAACAAUUGAUCAGUUUAUUGUGGCCUCAACUUGUAUAAUGUUCUCAUAAUUUGUUUAAGUGAUAUGACUAUGUUGAUUGUAGGUCAAGGUCAUUUAUACCAUGUUCACUUUCACAAGUGCUGUUAUCAUGUCUACAUAGUCAUUGUUGAAUCUUGUCAUGUGUUUUGUAUAGCUAACUUAUACUAUUUUAUGUACAAUUUAUCUACAAAUAGCGCUUACGAUUAAAGGUAGGAGUCGUCGUUUAUGGAUAGUGUGCUGUUUUUGUGAGUUUUUGAAAUGGCAUGCGUGGUCCUUCGUUGGUAAAGUUGCAAUAGUCUCGUCUUUCAUCCCACUUGGUCAAUGGCAUCGCAUUGGUUGGAAACCUAACAUUGGCUACGUAUUUAACAAAUAUAGAAUAUCUGAAUGAAAUAUAACUAUUUUCCAUUAUAUAUCAUUUUUUCAUUGAGAACAUUUUCACACUUUUAAAUGUUUUAUGAAUAUCUUACUGAUAUUGUCAAUCAUGAUUUGCUUGUAAUGUCGAUCAUCAUAUCAGUCAUGUCAAUUGUGAAUGAUUCAGCUCACUUUGCUUGACAUUUUCUCAAUCAAGAGUGGAAGCUGUUAACAAAGCAUCAAAUAUUGAAAUAUUUCAAAUGAAAAUUAGAAAAUGUUUAUUUUGCACUUGCUCAGCCUAUAUACAAUGUUGAUGUGGCUCCUAUAUGCAGGCUUGACAUGGCUCCCAUAUACAGGCUUGACAUGGCUCCUAUAUACAGGCUUGACAUGACUCCCAAAUACAGGCUUGACAUGGCUCCUAUAUACAGGCUUGACAUGGCUCCUAUGUACAGGCUUGACAUGGCUCCUAUGUACAGGCUUGACAUGGCUCCUAUGUACAGGCUUGACAUGGCUCCUAUAUAUACAGGUUUGACAUGGCUCCUACAUACAGGCUUGACAUGGCUCCUAUGUACAGGCUUGACAUGGCUCCUAUAUAUACAGGUUUGACAUGGCUCUAUGUACAGGCUUGACAUGGCUCUAUGUACAGGCUUGACAUGGCUCCUAUGUACAGGCUUGACAUGGCUCCUAUGUACAGGCUUGACAUGGCUCCUAUAUAUACAGGUUUGACAUGGCUCCUACAUACAGGCUUGACAUGGCUCCUAUGUACAGGCUUAACAUGGCUCCUAUAUACAGGCUUGACAUGGCUCCUAUGUACAGGCUUGACAUGGCUCCUAUGUACAGGCUUGACAUGGCUCCUAUGUACAGGCUUGACAUGGCUCCUAUAUAUACAGGUUUGACAUGGCUCUAUAUACAGGUUUGACAUGGCUCCUAUAUACAGGCUUGACAUGGCUCCUAUGUACAGGCUUGACAUGGCUCCUAUGUACAGGCUUGACAUGGCUCCUAUAUAUACAGGUUUGACAUGGCUCCUAUAUACAGGCUUGACAUGGCUCCUAUAUACAGGCUUGACAUGGCUCCUAUAUACAGGCUUGACAUGGCUCCCAUAUACAGGCUUGACAUGGCUCCUAUAUACAGGCUUGACAUGGCUCCUAUGUACAGGCUUGACAUGGCUCCUAUGUACAGGCUUGACAUGGCUCUAUGUACAGGCUUGACAUGGCUCCUAUGUACAGGCUUGACAUGGCUCUAUGUACAGGCUUUACAUGGCUCCUAUGUACAGGCUUGACAUGGCUCCUAUAUAUACAGGUUUGACAUGGCUCCUAUGUACAGGCUUGACAUGGCUUCUAUGUACAGGCUUGACAUGGCUCCCAUGUACAGGCUUGACAUGGCUCCUAUAUAUACAGGUUUGACAUGGCUCCUAUGUACAGGCUUGACAUGGCUCCUAUGUACAGGCUUGACAUGGCUCCCAUGUACAGGCUUGACAUGGCUCCUACAUACAGGCUUGACAUGGCUCCUAUGUACAGGCUUGACAUGGCUCCUAUGUACAGGCUUGACAUGGCUCCUAUAUACAGGCUUGACAUGGCUCCUAUAUACAGGCUUGACAUGGCUCCUAUGUACAGGCUUGACAUGGCUCCUAUGUACAGGUUUGACAUGGCUCCUAUGUACAGGCUUGACAUGGCUCCUAUGUACAGGCUUGACAUGGCUCCUAUGUACAGGCUUGACAUGGCUCCUAUGUACAGGCUUGACAUGGCUCCUAUGUACAGGCUUGACAUGGCUCCUAUGUACAGGUUUGACAUGGCUCCUAUGUACAGGCUUGACAUGGCUCCUAUGUACAGGCUUGACAUGGCUCCUAUAUAUACAGGCUUGACAUGGCUCCUAUAUAUACAGGCUUGACAUGGCUCUAUGUACAGGCUUGACAUGGCUCCUAUAUACAGGCUUGACAUGGCUCCUAUGUACAGGCUUGACAUGGCUCCUAUGUACAGGCUUGACAUGGCUCCUAUGUACAGGCUUGACAUGGCUCCUAUAUAUACAGGUUUGACAUGGCUCCUAUAUAUACAGGUUUGACAUGGCUCCUAUAUACAGGCUUGACAUGGCUCCUAUGUACAGGCUUGACAUGGCUCCUAUAUACAGGCUUGACAUGGCUCCUAUGUACAGGCUUGACAUGGCUCCUAUAUAUACAGGUUUGACAUGGCUCCUAUGUACAGGCUUGACAUGGCUCCUAUAUACAGGUUUGACAUGGCUCCUAUGUACAGGCUUGACAUGGCUCCUAUAUACAGGCUUGACAUGGCUCCUAUGUACAGGCUUGACAUGGCUCCUAUGUACAGGCUUGACAUGGCUCCUAUAUACAGGCUUGACAUGGCUCCUAUAUACAGGCUUGACAUGGCUCCUAUGUACAGGCUUGACAUGGCUCCUAUGUACAGGCUUGACAUGGCUCCCAUAUACAGGCUUGACAUGGCUCCUAUAUACAGGCUUGACAUGACUCCCAAAUACAGGCUUGACAUGGCUCCUAUAUACAGGCUUGACAUGGCUCCUAUGUACAGGCUUGACAUGGCUCCUAUGUACAGGCUUGACAUGGCUCCUAUGUACAGGCUUGACAUGGCUCCUAUAUACAGGUUUGACAUGGCUCCUAUGUACAGGCUUGACAUGGCUCCUAUGUAUAGGCUUGACAUGGCUCCUAUGUACAGGCUUGACAUGGCUCCUAUGUACAGGCUUGACAUGGCUCCCAUAUACAGGCUUGACAUGGCUCCUAUGUACAGGCUUGACAUGGCUCCUAUGUACAGGCUUGACAUGGCUCCUAUAUACAGGUUUGACAUGGCUCUAUGUACAGGCUUGACAUGGCUCCUUUAUACAGGCUUAACAUGGCUCCUAUGUACAGGCUUGACAUGGCUCCUAUGUACAGGCUUGACAUGGCUCCUAUAUAUACAGGUUUGACAUGGCUCCUAUAUACAGGCUUAACAUGGCUCUAUGUACAGGCUUGACAUGGCUCCUAUAUACAGGCUUGACAUGGCUCUAUAUACAGGCUUGACAUGGCUCCCAUAUACAGGCUUGACAUGGCUCCUAUAUACAGGCUUGACAUGGCUCUAUGUACAGGCUUUACAUGGCUCCUAUGUACAGGCUUGACAUGGCUCCUAUGUACAGGCUUGACAUGGCUCCUAUAUACAGGCUUGACAUGGCUCCUAUGUACAGGCUUGACAUGGCUCCUAUAUAUACAGGCUUGACAUGGCUCCUAUGUACAGGUUUGACAUGGCUCCUAUAUAUACAGGUUUGACAUGGCUCCUAUGUACAGGCUUAACAUGGCUCCUAUAUACAGGCUUGACAUGGCUCCUAUAUAUACAGGUUUGACAUGGCUCCUAUGUACAGGCUUGACAUGGCUCCUAUAUAUACAGGUUUGACAUGGCUCCUAUGUACAGGCUUGACAUGGCUCCUUUAUACAGGCUUGACAUGGCUCUAUGUACAGGCUUGACAUGGCUCCCAUAUACAGGUUUGACAUGGCUCCUAUAUACAGGCUUGACAUGGCUCCUAUGUACAGGCUUGACAUGGCUCCUAUAUACAGGCUUAACAUGGCUCUAUGUACAGGCUUGACAUGGCUCCUAUAUACAGGCUUGACAUGGCUCCUAUAUACAGGCUUGACAUGGCUCCUAUGUACAGGCUUGACAUGGCUCCAAUGUACAGGCUUGACAUGGCUCUAUAUACAGGCUUGACAUGGCUCCUAUAUACAGGCUUAACAUGGCUCUAUGUAUAGGCUUGACAUGGCUCCUAUAUACAGGCUUGACAUGGCUCUAGGUACAGGCUUGACAUGGCUCCUACAUACAGGUUUGACAUGGCUCUAGGUACAGGCUUGACAUGGCUCCUAUAUACAGGCUUGACAUGGCUCCAAGAAUUUUUCAUAUUGAACUGUUUAUUAGUCUGUACAGAUUAUUGUCUCCACCGUGACAAAACACGAGGUUACAUUAUGACCAAGUAUGUCCCAUGACAUUUGUAAUUAGUCGUUUGUUAUGUAACGUUGAUAUAUGAUACAGUUUGUUUAGUCUGAUGGUGUCUAUGGUUUAGCCUAGCUGUUGCAAGCAUGCUAAUGUUAUCUGUUUUCCCCUUUCCCUCCCGUCUAAUAACUCUGUUUUGGAGACACAGCUAACCUAAGGCAGCAUGACUGGAAGUACAAUGAAUGCAGGACGUUGCCUGCGAAUGUUUGGGGCCAGACUUGGUAGAAAGUGUGGUUUGUGACGCCAGGGUUGGGAGGGUAUGAGAUGUUUCACAUUACAGAUCUCUGUGGGGACUUGAUGCAGGAUCUUCUGGCAUGGUCUCCAGGAUCUUCUGGCAUGGUCUCCAGGAUUAACGUUGUCUGCUGUGUUUUCCCUUCACUUCACUACUGACGUAUAUGGGGAGUCCUCUUCAUGACCAACCAGCCUGUGAACAAUAUUGGGGUAAACCCAAGGCAAAGAUAUUUUUGCAAGUGUUUUCUGGAUAAAAUUAUUCUUUUGUAAAAAAUUCUUGGCCAUGCUUGGUGACUAUCCUCCCACAUUAAACUGACGUGCGAUGAUAACCUUCUAAACAACGUACAUCCCUGCUAUGAAAUCAGAAGGAUAAAAGUAUCUAUUGUUAUAACAAUCAGCAGAACCAGAGCUCUUAAUAUUGGUAUUGAUAUAAGUAUGUGAUAAUGGUUAUGGAUCCUAUUGUAAGAUGAGUAGGGCAAUGAAUAUCCCUUUUGUUGACACAGGAUUUUGUGUGUGUGUGGGGUGUGUGUGUGUCUUAUAACCAUACACAACAAGUCAGAUAUUAUUUCAGAGAUCGAUGGAAGGAACUUAGUGCAAACAUUGCGAGAAACUAAAGCUUUUUCGAUAAUAAUUACGAGGCAAUUAUAUCCCCCCUUCUUAACUGCUGAUUUUUUCUGUAGAAAAUGUUUAAUAUGCACAGGAAAAUAUGGACUACCCUGUACAUAUUAUAUAGGCCACUUAAAAUGAUUACUUACAGAUUGGUCUAGAAGUUGGUCAGUAGGCUUUUUUUUAGCAGGGCACUGCGACAUAAACUAAAAACAUCUUCCCCAGAUUUCGUCUGAUUUGCCACAUACAAAUUAUUUUAGUCGAAACCCCGGACUGAUUAUUGCAAUGAAAUUGAAGAAUAUCUUAAGCAUUUCGAUAAACAGUGCAGUAUGUGCUGUGAUUGAAUUCUACUCACACAAUACUCUCAUUCAUCCAUUCAUUUCUUCAUUCCUUCCUAAUUGGCCCGUUACCCACCUCAGGAGCUGGCCCAUUGACAAGACCUGUAUGCAAGACGAUGAGGGACAGUAACAUGGCAAAGUCCCUGUACCCCCAACACCCUUGUCCCGGUGCUCACCUUACCUCAUAAUGCUGAAAUUGGAUGAAAUAUUGUUGGAAGUUAUUAAUGAACUUGGAGACAUUUCACAGUGCUGGACCUGGAUAUGAGGUGCAUGCACUUCAGAGGCCAGUCACUCACUACUGUUGGCAGCUUGCCUACCUCACUCCCUUCCAGAGCCUCACUGGCGUACAAGCAGUGGUUACCUAGACAGUUGUAUAAUAAAUAAACAUUAUUACUGUACUGAAAAUCAUUGAACAAACAAACACCUGGUUUAAAUGUGAGAGUGAAAAAAAUUAUUACAUUUUUACCCCCUUUUAAAACUUCUCGUUUAAGAACAUGCGAAAGGUAUUGUUUCAAGGGGGGUAUAUUUUCAAUAGUUGUAUCCCAAAAUGUGAACAUUUGUGUUCACUUGAAGUUUUUGAAACAUCGAGUAGAACCAUUUGAAACAAUAUUGAAAAAGCUUGUUGCAAAUGCCUCUAUGCAAUAGAUAUAUCCCAGCCUUAAUAAAUAACACUAGGUCCAAGGGACUUCCCAAAUUAAUAUAAGCCUGGCACUUUUUAAAGGGUUUACGGUAUAACGCCAUCUGGAAUUUGUUCUGAGUCAGCAUAAUUGAUUUCUAGUUUGACACAGUUGUACAUUGUUACUAUUUUGCAACAUGUCAUCAGUUUGAACAUAUGGCACCGUCACCAUGGUUACACAAAUUAUAUUUAUGUUUAAUGAACAUUAUGCAUUUAUUACUGGAGGUGCUUUUUAUGACAGUGUAUGUUACAUUGUCACGGUUAAAAUGUUCUUAUUUAGGACAGAAGUGAUGAUUUUGGUGCAUAUUAAAUACCACACUGUUUUACUCCCAGUCCAGCUUGUCUCAUAAUUGUAACACUAAGCACAGGCCCUAGAAUUAACUGAAAGGAAUAAUUUGGAUCUGUGUACAAUUCAUGCAUAAAUACUACUCCAGCUUGAUGCGUCGUCUUAAAAGUCUACACAAUAUAAAUAUGGACAUUCCGUAAGCUCUAAAAUAUUGGAAAAUGACUAUUUGUUUAUCAGUGUCCGAAAAAUCACACAAGGAGGUUCUCAUAAAACCUGACAAGCCUAUGUAGAAUGUCACAAACAUGGACAACUGUAGGGGGGGGCACCAAACCUGUCAGCCAAAUGACAGCUUCCUGAAGUUUAAGUCCUUUGCAAAGACUGUGUAGGAGAAACAAAGAAGCUUAAGCUGUACUUACAAUGUCAUGUCUACCAAUAUAAAAGACUGGGAUGUGUCCUAAAAGAUGUGGAUGUCGUUUGUCAAAUUUGCACAAAUAGACCAAUUUACUGCAAUCUCAUUUAAAUCAGAUCUUACUUCUCGCUAUCACUAAACAAAGAUCUCAGGACAUCCACAUGUCACGUCAGAACGACCUUUCAUUUGACCGAUCAAAGUGUCGCUUACCAGAUCAUGAAAGCGACAGUCGGAAUGUGUUUUUUAAUCAUGCAACCUCAAAAACAUUAACACGGGGUAUCCUGAACGACAGUUAUGGCCAUACGACUGAUUCCGUCAAGAUUAUCGUCUAUCGCUCUCUCUUCCGUGGGAUAAACAUUUGAACGGAGGAGGUGUUGCACAGUAUGUGGGAAGCACUGCUAUACAAUCUCAACCAUAUAUUAGACAUUCCGGAAUGUUUUUUCAGUUUUCAAAAUUUAAUCGAGAACUGUGUCAAUAAAUUUACAAGAGUAGUCUGAAAUUGAAGUUGCCAGGUUGAAACAAGUGCCGUAAAGCUCGAGAAAGCUGCUUUCUAAUUGGCUGAUGUUAACUUCUUGUUAGUCAUUUCAGUGGUCGGUCAAAGUUCGCGAAAGGUUGUUCUGACAUGACCCGUAAUGGGAUGUCCUCAGAUCUUUGUUUAGCAGCGGCUAUAACUUGGAUCAGAUUUUAAUGAGUUUGAAUUUACUGAAAGCUACAACACUGUUGGAUGAUCCAUGUUUUCUGAGUGUCUUGUUUUGCUGUAACAGAUGUAGAUAAUAAUAGGACAGUGUGCGAACCUCGAUGAAUAGUUCAGUGAUUUGAUCUUUUGAUAAGUAACAUUCACAUUUCUGUCUGUUUUGACAUAUCAUAGAUUUGUUUGUUGAUAGGUCUGAAUGUGUUGUACUUUCUGGGACUGACAGCAUGAAGUGUGUUCUUCUCCUGGCACCACUGGACUCUGUGAAUGAAGUCCGUCCUGUCAAUGUUGCAGAUUUGUUUCCCUUAUUCAGUAAAACAACAAAGCACCCACUACCUUGGAAGUUUUACGUUGGACAUUUUCUUUAUUAUUUGCUUAUUCAAUGUGUGCCAAUACAAAUUCUGCCUACAUGCCAAAACUGUCUUUCAGUAGGUUUUUACAAUUGAAUUUGUUCUGAAACACAUGGCUCUUCUUUGCUAGUCUUCCCAGUUCUUAUAUGUUUGCUUCUUUAGGUAAGGACCCAGAACUUUGUACUUAAUUUGUCAGUACUUACUACAGCUUCGCUAUGAGGCAGUCAGUAAUCCUGUGUUUAAUCUUGGCAUAGUUGGAGCUUACUUAACCACAGACAGAUCAUUGGACAUGGGUUCUUGUGUUAUCUAUUUGAUGGUGAGAAAAGAGUUUGAAAGUGAAAUGUUUGAUUCCUUAAAAGGAAUGUUCCAUUAGAAAACUGAGGUGGUUGGUUCAAUAUGUAGGAUUUGUUUGAAUUUUUGUGAACACUGUUACUGUAGCCUUCUUGGUCAAACAAGACCGCCCCCGGGGUGUACUGGAUACAGCGUCUGCCCAGAGAGUGGAAGGUCAGGGGUUCAAUACCCGGCUGCGUGAUUCCAAUUGAUGUUAAAAGAUGGUUCUUGUUGUUACCCAGCCUGGCACUUGGCAUUAAGGAGUAAAAACAAGGAGUGGUCGCCUUGGAGGCAGUAUACUGUGUCUAAGUGGAGCAUUCCUGUUAAGCUGUGGCAUGGUAUCUGGGCUGGCACUAUAGAAUAUUGAACAAAACCCUCCAAAUCACCCACAGUUUUAAUGAAUAGUUUAUUCACUAUGGAUGACUGAUCCAAAUUAAUCUAAUGGCGACAGUUUUGCUGUGUGUGGAACAUGUCCAGGUGGGAUCUGGUCCCAACUAUGCUGCUGCUGCUGUUGUUGCUUGCGGAGGCAGGCCAUGUAGUGUACUACACAAUUGUUGAUGGGCCAAUAUGGCUGAGCAUAAAGGGGACCUAAUGUCAUCACUUGUUUGAUCAGGACAUUCAUUUUAUGCAAAUAAUGCAAAACUCGGAUAUCUAAUGCAGGACGAAGUGAGAAUUGAAUGUUUUCCGCCCACAUAUGUAAAUGAAGCCUUCCUCAUGUUUAGUAUUAUCGUAUUUCAUUCUAUUUAAGGGGCAAACCAUUUGCGUGGUUAGAUAUCAAUAUUUUUAAUGAAAUAAUCAGGAUUUGCAAACUUUUUGAUGACUACGGAAAUUUGUAUUUUGAUCAAGAGAUUUAUGGGAUCUGUUGUCCUUUUAUUAUAUCCAAAGUGUUUCCCAGACGACCUGAUGCAAUAGUCUUCAUUACCUCAGAUUACUUGUUACAGUAUUAGUCUCAUAAUAUCCUCAAACAGGUGUAACAUUGGCUUGAAGUUCUCUUUGAAAUAUUGGGUUGCACUGGUAGUCCAGUUGACUAAGAUGCCACAAUUCGCUAUCCAGAAUUAUGUCAUUUUAGUCAAUAAUUGUUAAUAAUGAUCCUUGGGUUUGUCAACACCAUACUCGUAUUUGAUUAUCCAGCUAUUGUUUUCAUUCUGUUACGAUAUAUAGCCUGGACUUGUUUGCCACUAAAGUUUAGUUUCAGAAGUGGCCACAUCAUCUCCAUCACUAACAGCACAGAUUAUUUUCUAGCUCACUAACAACAAUUAUGAUAUCUUUUCUGAAUGAGUGUUUAGCAUAGAUCUUCCUCCUGAAUUCAGGCCUCAUCAGAUGAAGCCCUUCAUAGACAGAUGCUAUGGUUGCAGAUGUAACAGAACAGAUUUUCACUGGAUGAUGAACGAUCAUAAUUUCACGAAAGGGGUAAAUGUCUCAAGCUUGUAUCACUUUGGACUUCCACAUUGAGCGGACACUCAGCAAUAUUACUGAAAUGUGUUGCAUGUUAAGUACACCCAUUGUAUCCUUGCUUGAAACCCAACUCACUUUUUGGUAAGAUAAAUACUCCUUUCAGAAUGAGUAAUUUUCAGCAACCUACCGGUUAAUGUUGAAAGUAUCUGGUGAGCUAAAUUUUUAGCUCACCUAUUUGGCAUUGUCCAUCGUCCAUCUAUCGUUAACCCUAACACUUUUAACAUCUCUGAAACUACAAGGCCUAUGGAACUGAAUGCAGUCAUGUACCUAGAGAUAAAUUGCAUUGGGUCUCAUGAUUUUAUCAACUUUCUUCUAUGUCAUUACUAAAUUUGAAAGAAAACUUUAGGACAUGAUGAAUAACAAUCAGUCAAUGUCCUGGAAAAAUCAACCGAUUUGAAAUGCAGGAAAUAUAUACUAUGGAAUAACAGACGAUUGUGGGCAUCGUUUGAUAUUUGAUCAAACUCAGAGCCUUGACCUUCACAUACACCUGCAUUUCUACUGUUUGACAUUUUCUCUGAAACUCUAUGGCCUAAGCUGCUGAAACUUCGUUGUUUGAAGGGGGCACGGGUGACCCAAUCGUCUGAGGCGCCGCAAUUUGCUGUGCAGAGUUGCGUCCCUUGGGCACACCAGAAACCUAUGAUUGUGGGUUCGAAUCCCGGGUUUGCCCCGAUUAUGUUUCUAGGUUUGUCAGCACCAUACCCGUGCUCGUGGGUUUCACCAAAGUGAUAAACGUCUGAGACCUGCAUCACUUCGGGCUUUCCUCCCACAUAAAGUGGACACGCCGUGAUAUAACUGUAAUACUAUUAAAAGCGGCGUUAUACCCAACUCACUCACUCACUCACUCACUCAUUGUUUGAAUGAUCCCUGCUAGAAAUUGCACACAGAAUUCCAACCCGACUUGAGACAUUAUUUCUUCAGAAUGUAGGUGAGCUACAAAGCCUUGUGGCUCUAGUUUGUAUUCAGGUUAGGUGCAAUACAGAUUAUGCCAUCUCUUGUCAUGUGAUCCAAGGAUGGGUGAAGUUAAGCAAGAUAUCACAUAGCCACAUCUUCUCCUUCAAGCCAGAGCCCUAUUAUGAAGACAACCAUUGUCUCUGCAGAAACACCUAACUGAGCCUAGCUGGCAGUACUGUCUUCUGAUGCUGAUGUAGGUGUUCAUAUGUUUUGUGGUUAAGCCAGGUUCUGAGCAAGCUCGACUUAUACUGUUUGUGUAUUAUAAACUGUCCAAGAUUGAUGCAGAAGUAUAAUAAACUCUUAUACCUCAUCCUGA
rnacentral:misc_RNA from 1 species